GCGGAAUUAGUUUAGUCUGGUAUGACGUCAAUUUCCCAAGUUGAAGGUCACGGGUUCAAAUCCCGUAUUCCGCA
rnacentral:tRNA from 2 species